CCUACGGGCGGCAGCAGUGAGGAAUAUUGGUCAAUGGGCGGAAGCCUGAACCAGCCAAGUAGCGUGCAGGAUGACGGCCCUACGGGUUGUAAACUGCUUUUAUACGGGAAUAACGCGCCUUACGUGUAGGGCUUUGCAUGUACCGUAAGAAUAAGGACCGGCCAAUUCCGGGCCAGCAGCCGCGGUAAUACGGAAGGUCCGGGCGUUAUCCGGGUUUAUUGGGGGUAAAGGGAGCGUAGGCCGCAGUGCAAGCUGGCGGUGAAAUGUCCGGGCUCAACCCGGGCCUUGCAGCGCGAACUGGCGUGCUUGAGUCCGCGGAAAGCAGGCGGAAUUCGUCGUGUAGCGGUGAAAUGCUUAGAUAUGACGAAGAACCCCGAUUGCGAAGGCAGCUUGCUGCAGCGGAACUGACGCUGAUGCUCGAAAGCGCGGGUAUCGAACAGGAUUAGAUACCCCUGUAGUC
rnacentral:rRNA from 1 species